rfam:Ornithorhynchus anatinus chromosome 3, whole genome shotgun sequence.
CCCCUCUCAGGAUCGCACCUGGAAAGUUUUCAAUCCUCUAUUAGCUUCGGCUACGGGAGGGAGAGUCAAGGAGAGACAUGCUCAUUCCAUUCCUAGCUUGGGCAGUGGCUAGCGAGUGGAAGGCAAUCUGCUACAAGG